rnacentral:rRNA from 1 species
CAGCCGUAAACUAUGCGCGUUAGGUGUACUGGUGACCACGAGUCACCGGGGUGCCGAAGGGAAACCGUGAAACGUGCCGCCUGGGAAGUACGGUCGCAAGGCUGAAACUUAAAGGAAUUUGGCGGGGGAGCACCCACAACGGGUGGAGCCUGCGGUUUAAUUGGACUCAACGCCGGAAAUCUCACCGGAUAGGACAGACAUAUGAUAGUCGGGCUGAAGACUCUACUUGAUGAUCUGAGAGGAGGUGCAUGGCGUCAGUGACU